CAGCCUGAAACUACGUUGUGCUUCCAGUGACCCUGUGGGAGAAGGGAGCUGAGGGGCACAAAGCGUGGGCCACCGGCUGGGAGGACACCCCACAUGUACCCAGUUAGGCGCUCCUGGACAAAGAACUGAUCAGAUGUUGGAAACAAUCCUAGGCUUGGCAUGAAAUGGUACAUGGCACCAGAACUUCCUGAGGACUCGAUUCUGUUUGAUGGCUUUGAUGCCUGUAAACAUAUUGACAUGUGGGCAUUUGUUCUUGUUCUACGGGCAAUAACAAGAGGAACAUUCAGUAAAGGAGUUUAAAGAAAAAGCUGAAGCAACGCUAGGACUUGGUGCUAUUCUGACAGCUUCUGAAGGAUUUGGAAUGUACCAGAAGGUUGGGAUAGUGAUUCAUUUAAGGAAGGACAAAGGAAAGAGGGGCCAAAAUCCUUUUAUAAUGCAACUGCCGAUGCCAAUCGAAACCAAUCAACAGUGACGGUUGGACCGUGGGGAGAGGGAGACCUACCACCAGGAUGAAUGGUUGCUCUUGAAGAAAGCCUCCAAGAAACAGGCUGGAAGAAAAGCCAGACAGUGGCAGAGAAAGGUUACCUUUUCAAACUAAUUAACACAAACCUGCUGCUCCCCCCCAAGCUUUUCAAGUGUCUCUCUCACAUGGAGCAAGAAACGCAACUGGUGCCAUCUCUUCC